GGAUGCAUUAGUAAAUGGAUUUUUUUAAACAUAUAGUAAUUAAUUUUUUUCAGAAUGAUCACUUUUGGCGUUUUGCAUUUCAUGUUAUAUUAGCAAGGGUUUUGAAGAUGGAAAUUUUGAGUGCGAAUCUUAAUAGAAAAAUGCAACAAUGUGCCAGGACUUGUUCGAUUCCUGCCAGAGGGCGUAUUGUUGCAUUUUCCGCGACUGUUCCUGGUUAGGUUUAAUAAAUGUGUAAAAUUUACCCUCGAAAUUUCCAUCUACAAAACCUUUGAGCAAUUAAUUCUAACGAUUGAGAUGCCCAGAAUCCUGAUUUAUAAUAGCAAGCCCCAUUCAGUUGCCGGUGGGUG